AGUGAACGCUGGCGGUAGGCCUAACACAUGCAAGUCGAACGGCAGCACAGUAAGAGCUUGCUCUUACGGGUGGCGAGUGGCGGACGGGUGAGGAAUACAUCGGAAUCUACUUUUUCGUGGGGGAUAACGUAGGGAAACUUACGCUAAUACCGCAUACGACCUACGGGUGAAAGCAGGGGAUCUUCGGACCUUGCGCGAUUGAAUGAGCCGAUGUCGGAUUAGCUAGUUGGCGGGGUAAAGGCCCACCAAGGCGACGAUCCGUAGCUGGUCUGAGAGGAUGAUCAGCCACACUGGAACUGAGACACGGUACAGACUCCUACGGGAGGCAGCAGUGGGGAAUAUUGGACAAGGGGAGCAAGCCUGAUCCAGCCAUACCGCGUGGGUGAAGAAGGCCUUCGGGUUGUAAAGCCCUUUUGUUGGGAAAGAAAAGCAGCAGGUUAAUACCCCGCUGUUCUGACGGUACCCAAAGAAUAAGCACCGGCUAACUUCGUG
rnacentral:rRNA from 1 species